GAUGAAGAACGCAGCGAAAUGCGAUAAGUAAUGUGAAUUGCAGAAUUCAGUGAAUCAUCGAAUCUUUGAACGCACCUUGCACCCUUUGGCAUUCCGAAGGGUAUGCUCGUUUGAGUGUCAUUGUACUCUCACACUUCUGAUCCUUUGGAUUGGGAGCGGUGGACUUGGGUGUUGCUGCUUUACUGUGGCUCACCUCAAAUGCAUUCGUGCAACUCUUGGUUGGACAUAGUACGGCGUGAUAAGUAUCUUCGCCGGCACCUCGCAAGAGGGUGGCUGAUCAGGAGCUCUGUGCUUUCCAACUGUCUUCAGACAACAACUGACAACUUGACCUCAAGUCGAGUAGGACCACCCGCUGAACUUAAGCAUAUCAAUAAGCGGAGGA
rnacentral:misc_RNA from 1 species